UUGCCCAGAAGCGAUAUCCUAGGAUUCAUCAUUCCUUCCCAUAUAGCUCGGUUUCCACUCCUGGAUCCUCCUCUUCUGAUUAUUAUAAGGAUUACACAACUACUUUGUUAUUCAACCCAUCGAAAAAACCUGCCAAUGCCUCUUCUACUUGGUAGCUAAGCUUCCCAGCAUAGUUGCAUCUCUUAAAUCUCCCCUUCUGCAGGUUUGAGCCCCUGUGUUGGGGGCACAGCUGAAAAGUCAGAAGAGAUGCUGAUGGCACUCCAAAGGCUGCAAAAUACUUGUACUUGAUAGUACUGCACAAAGGACAAAAAACGUGAAGGGAAAUGGAAACAUUAAACCUGAGAACAGGAAAAUUCACAAGAAUCUCGGCCUGAAAUAAAAAGGAGACAAAGAUGUGAUUUCCAAAACAAUACCCAGAGAUCAAAAAGAGGCUGAGGCGCGUUCAAACACGGUGGCUGAUCUGCAGGGAAAGGUUAAAGAACAUUGUUUUCAAAGGUGACAAACAGUGCCAGGGUUAUAUACGUGAGUAACCAGUAUUCCAGAAAAUGGAGGAGAAAGAAAAAGGACACAAGUAAAACCAGACCUUUGGCAUAAAAAGCCUGAAGUUGGUUCUUGUCCCUCCUGCUUGAUGCAGAAGGGUGAAGUGAUCUGAUAUAAAAAAGGAAGCUUCCUGUAUGCAGAGCCCAGGUUGUUUAUUCUUGUGAAUGAUGCAAUGGGUUAACGGAUAAUAUGUGGGUUAUCAGCAAGGAAAUCUGAAGAAAUACCUGAUGCUUUAUGUGGGCAGCAAUCAAGAUUAUCUUUGAG